UGCGAGUUCGCGGGAGAGUAAGUUAUUGCCAGGGUUUUUAUUUUAUACUUUAAACAUUGAUUUUAUUUUUUAUGUUUUUAGAUGUUCAUGUUUUUCAAUGUUUUAUUCAAAUAAUAUAAAAAAUAAAAUAUAUAUUGACAUGGAUUAAACAAAGAUAUAUAUUAUUCUAUGUUGUAUAAACAAAUUGGCAAAAUAGAGAUGGAAGAUAAAAAUAUGGUCAAAGUAAUAAGAGUCUAUGGUGAAUGCCUAGGAGC
rnacentral:misc_RNA from 1 species